UAGUCAUAUGCUUGUCUCAAAGAUUAAGCCAUGCAUGUCUAAGUAUAAACAACUUUGUACUGUGAAACUGCGAAUGGCUCAUUAAAUCAGUUAUAGUUUAUUUGAUGGUAUCUUACUACAUGGAUAACUGUGGUAAUUCUAGAGCUAAUACAUGCAAUCAAGCCCCGACUUCCGGAAGGGGUGUAUUUAUUAGAUAAAAAACCAACGCGGCUCGCCGCUCCCUUGGUGAUUCAUAAUAACUUCUCGAAUCGCAUGGCCUUGUGCCGGCGAUGCUUCAU
rnacentral:rRNA from 1 species